UGGAGCUUCAGCAACAGUCCUUCCAAUGAAUAUUCAGGGUUGAUUCUUUUAGGAUUGACUGGUUUGAUCUCCUUGCAGUCCAAGGGACUCUCGAGAGUCUUCUCUAGUGCCACAGUUCAAAAGCAUCAAUUCUUUGUUCUGAGCCUUCUUUAUGGUCCAGCUCUCACAUCUGUACAUGACUACUGGAAAAACCGUAGUUUUGACUAUACAGACCUUUGCUGGCAAAGUGAUGUCUCUGCUUUUUAAUACGCUAUCUAGGAUUGUCAUAGUUUUUCUUCCAAGAGCAAGUGUCUUUUAAUUUCAUGGCUGCAGUCACAGUCCAUAGUGAUUUUAGAGCCAAGGAAAUAAAACCAGUCACUGUUUCCACUGUUUCCCCAUCUAUUUGCAAUGAAGUGAUAGGACCAGAUGCCAUGAUCUUAGUAUUUUGAAUGUUGAAUUUUAAGCCAGGCUUUUCACUCUCCUCUUUCACCCUCAUCAAGAGGCUCUUUAGUUCCUCUUUGCUUUUUGCCAUAAGGGUGGUAUCAUGUGCAUGUUUGAGGUAAUUGAUAUUUCUCCUGGCAAUGUUGGUUCCAGCUUGUGCUUCAUCCAGUCAGGCAUUUCACAUGAUGCACUCAUUUCACAUGAUGUACUCUGCAGGGUGACAACAUAUAGCCUGAUGUACUCCUUUCUCAAUUUUGAACCAGUCAGUUGUUCCAUGGCUUGUUCUAACCUCCUUCAUGACCUGCAUACAAGCUUCUCAGGAAGCAGGUAAGGUGGUCUGGUAUUCCCAGCUCUUUAAGAAUUUUCCACACAGUUGUGAUCCACAGAGUCAAAGGCUUUCAGUUCAGUUCAGUUCAGUUCAGUCGCUCAGUCAUGUCCAACUCUUUGCGACCUCAUGAACUGCAGCACGCCAGGCCUCCCUGUCCAUCACCAACUCCCAGAGUCCACCCAAACUCAUGUGCAUCAAGUCAAUGGUGCCAUCCAACCAUCUCAUCCUCUGUCGUCCCCUUCUCCUCCUGCCCUCAAUCUUUCCCAGCAUCAGGGUCUUUUCAAAUGAGUCAGCUCAGUCAGCUCGUCGCAUGAGGUGGCCAAACUAUUGGAGUUUUAGCUUCAACAUCAGUCCUUCCAAUGAACACCCAGGACUGAUCUGCUUUAGGAUGGACUAGUUGGAUCUCCUUGCAAAGGCUUUAGCAUUGUCAAUGAAGCAGAAAUAGACGUUUUUUUGGAAUUCCCUGGCUUUCUCCAUGAUGCAACAACUGUUGGUAAUUUGACCUCUGGUUCCUCUGCCACUUUGGAACCUGAAAUUUUUAGAGUUUUACACUUGUGUUUAAAACAGACACUGAAAAAGUCAGAAAUAUUGCAGACUCAUUAGAUUAGCUGAACUCUCUUGGUAGCCAUUGAUGAGAUUAAUCCAAAUCAAGUUCUCUGGACUAUGUUUAAAAACAACUUUAAUCACAUACACUAUUGACACUAUGUAUAAAGUAGAUGUCUACUGAGAACAUACCUCACAAAGCUGUACAACACCCAGUAUUAUUUCCGGGGCACGCUGUGUAGAGGUUUCAAGCCAAAAGCAGUUUCUUCUGUUUAUUGCUUUAAGUAUCUUUCUAAAAGUUAGGAGACGAAAGUAGAGAGAGGGAAAGUUUCUAUUUAGAUUGUCUCCACUUAGAAAGUCUCCAAUGGACCAAACUAAGAAAAAGAUGACCCUUGAACAACACGAAUUUGAACUGUGCAGGUCCAGUUAAACUUGGAUUUUUUUUCCAGUGGUAAACAUUUCAGUACUACACCAUCUGUGGCUGAUUGAAUCUGCUGACACAGAGGAGCCAUAGCUGAGGAAUCGAGUAUAUGGAGGGCCCACUUGUCACUAGUGGUAAAGAACCCACCUGCCGAUACUGGAGACAUGAGACGUGGGUUUGAUCCCUGGGUCAGGAAGAUCCCCUGGAGAAGAGCAUGGCAACCCACUCUAGUAUUCUUGCCUGGAGAAUCCCAUGGACAGAGGAGCCUGGCAGGCUACAGUCCAUAGCGUCACAAAGAGCUGGACAUGACGGAAGAGAUCUAGCAUGUGCGCAAUAUAAAUUAUGGCUGAAAUUUUAGACUGGGUCAAGGGUCAAAACCACUAACCCCAGCCUUGCUCCAGGGUUAACUGUACAUGUUGUCUGCUCCUCUUGUUUUCGUUUUUGUUUUUUUCCUUUUUUCCUGGCACCCUUAGAAAGAGGAAUGUGAGAGAGAUGACAGGGCUUUUAAUUCUUGUCCAAAGAAUUCCAGGGUAUUUCAGUUGUAAUAUUUGUUCUCUUUCACCAAACUUAAAGUAGCCUGGGAGUGAGUGUCUGAAAGCAUCUGAUAAAAUGACAUGCACAGAGCUGAUGCGAUCGACCUUGUGCAUAUCUUCCCCCUCCUCUAAGAGCGCACAGAAGCAGUUGCUAAUCCUGGACUUAAUGUAAGAGCCUUUAGGAUGGGGUACUGCAAAACUCUCUCCAACCAAUUCAUAAGUGCACUUGGAUUCCUGAAGACUGCCAAGGCCUAAAAAGUCCUUGAUUUGUGAGUUUGGGCAGGGACUGUUGGCUGUCACCCAAUGCUUCUUCUGUAGCAAUAAACUUUACACACCCUAGUUUCUAGCUAAGCAUUUGUGUGCUCGCAAUAAACAAUAUUAUUGUCAGCUUCUCUUGAGUCCAGUUGUGAAUAUGUGACUAAGAUUUAGACAAUGGGGUGUAAAUGGCAGUGUCAAUUGUGUUGGGAACCUACCUUAAGGAUCAGAUGAUAGGCAUCCUUUUCCUCAUUUUUGGGGGGGUGGGUUGUUUGUUUGUUUUUGUCCCUUCCUCUAUCUUGCUGCCUAGAACACAGAUGCGAAGGCUGGAGUUCAACCCAUUAUACUGGAUCACAAGGACGAAAGUCCCUAGGGACUGCAGAAAGGAGGACUACAAAGAACUUGGUCCCCUAGGACCUCAUGAGGCAGAAUUGCUGCUCUGCCUUCCAGCAGUCAUUUGUGAGAGAGAGAAAUCAACUCACAGGUGGAUUCUUUGCCACUGCACCAACUGGGAAGCCUGUAUAACACGCAUAUAUACCUAUACAUUUUUUGGAGUCAGUCCUGCAGCUAAACUCAUUAUUUCCAGUAAAUUUUAAGUUACUUUUCUUAGAUUUCUAGGUCUAUAUUCAUGUUAUCUGUAAAAAAGAGAUAGUUUAGUUUCUUCCUUUCUGAAAUUUAUACAUACUAUUUCUUCUUAAAUAGUUAUUGACAACAUUUAUGGAACAAUAAAUCUGAUUUGAGAAACCAGUAUGUGUUUCUUCUUUAAGAAUAAAAUCAACUGUUUGUUUUCAAUACACUCUAUUAUGUUUAGACUGGAAAUCCAACAUAGCUAAUGUUGCCUUACUUUCCUGUUUGGAAGAACUGAAAAUAAAAAUAGGGUGGCAGCUACCGCUACUUGGCUGAGGUUGCAGCUGGUGAUGACAAGAAAGGGAUUGUGGAUCAGUCACAGCAAGCAUACCAAGAAGCUUUUGAAAUCAGCAAAAAGGAAAUGCAACCAACACAUCCUAUCAGACUGGGUCUGGCCCUUAACUUCUCUGUGUUCUAUUAUGAGAUUCUGAACUCCCCUGAGAAAGCCUGCUCUCUUGCAAAGACAGCAUUUGAUGAAGCCAUUGCUGAACUUGAUACAUUAAGUGAAGAGUCAUACAAAGACAGCACGCUAAUAAUGCAGUUACUGAGAGAUAACUUGACAUUGUGGACAUCGGAUACCCAAGGAGACGAAGCUGAAGCAGGAGAAGGAGGGGAAAAUUAACCUGCCUUCCAACUUUUGUCUGCCUCAUUCUAAAAUUUACACAGUAGACCAUUUGUCAUCCAUGCUGUCCCACAAAUAGUUUUUUGUUUACGAUUUAUGACAGGUUUAUGUUACUUCUAUUUGAAUUUCUAUAUUUCCCAUGUGGUUUUUAUGUUUAAUAUUAGGGGAGUAGAGCCAGUUAACAUUUAGGGAGUUAUCUCUUUUCAUCUUGAGGUGGCCAAUAUGGGGAUGUGGAAUUUUUAUACAAGUUAUAAAUGUUUGGCAUAGUACUUUUGGUACAUUGUGGCUUCACAAGGGCCAGUGUUAAAACUGCUUCCAUGUCUAAGCAAAGAAAACUGCCUGCAUAUUGGUAUGUCCUGGUGGGGAAUAAAAGGGAUAAUUGGUUCCAAUCACAGGUGUAGUUGUGGGUACUUUUUAGGUUUGGAGCAUUUACAAAGCUGUAGUAGAAAUGGAUAUCCCAUGGAUAUUGCAUGUUAAACCAUGUGUUAUCUGUGGAAUACUCAGACUCAGUGUGCACACUGUUGACUGCAGCUAUAGAAGUGUUCCUUUAGUUGUGACCCAAUUUACUCUGGAUAAGGGCAGAAACGGUUCACAUUCCAUUAUUUGUAAAGUUACCUGCUGUUUGCUUUCAUUAUUUUUGCUACACUC
ensembl:lncRNA